rnacentral:rRNA from 1 species
AAUGAACGUUGGCGGCAUGGAUUAGGCAUGCAAGUCGAGCGAGAAGGGUUUUGAAGCUUGCUUUAGAACCCGGACAGCGGCGGAAGGGAGAGUAACGCGUAGUUAUGUGCCCUAGGGUCCGGAAUAGCCACGGGAAACUGUGGGUAAUGCCGGAUAACAUCCCCGGAUCAAAGGUGUGAUUCCGCCCUAGGAGCAGACUGCGUCCUACUAGCUAGUUGGUGGGGUAAUGGCCCACCAAGGCAAUGAUGGGUAGCGGGUGUGAGAGCAUGACCCGUCUCACUGGGACUGAGACACUGCCCAGACACCUACGGGUGGCUGCAGUCGAGAAUCUUCGGCAAUGGGCGCAAGCCUGACCGAGCGACGCCGCGUGCGGGAUGAAGGCCUUCGGGUUGUAAACCGCUGUCAGAGGGGAGGAAAUGCAUGAGGGUUCUCUCUCAUGUUUGACCUAUCCUCAGAGGAAGUACGGGCUAAGUUCGUGCCAGCAGCCGCGGUAAGAC